rnacentral:rRNA from 1 species
UGGGGAAUUGUUCGCAAUGGGCGCAAGCCUGACGACGCAACGCCGCGUGGAGGAUGAAGGUCUUCGGAUUGUAAACUCCUGUUGAUCGGGAAGAAUGGACUCCGGUUGAAUACUCCGGGGUAGUGACGGUACCGAUUGAGGAAGCCACGGCUAACUCUGUGCCAGCAGCCGCGGUAAUACAGAGGUGGCAAGCGUUGUUCGGAAUUACUGGGCGUAAAGGGCGCGUAGGCGGCCUGUUAAGUUGGAUGUGAAAGCCCGGGGCUCAACCCCGGAUGCGCAUCCGAGACUGGCAGGCUGGAGUCCGGGAGAGGGCGGCGGAAUUCCCAGUGUAGAGGUGAAAUUCGUAGAUAUUGGGAAGAACACCGGUGGCGAAGGCGGCCGCCUGGCCCGGAACUGACGCUGAGGCGCGAAAGCGUGGGGAGCAAA